rnacentral:lncRNA from 1 species
AGAAGAAGAAGAAUGUGAAGGUAGUGAUAAUAGAAGAGAAGAGAUGGUGUGGUGGUGAAUUUAGAAAUUGACAUACAUCAAAACACCAACGUAUUUAGUUAUGGACUUGCAUUGCACCCAAAUAAGCUCGUUUCAUUUUAAUUCAAACUAAUUCUUUUUUACUUUUUAUAUUAAAAACAUUUUUUUACACAAGACCCCACAAUAUUGCUUAACUAAAGUUAGCUACACAAUUUUAGGUUUUGUGUGACCCACUAUUGCCUAUUUGGUAGGAAUAUACAGAUGGAAAAUCAUAAUCAAGUAGUGAGUCUCUAUUAUAUUAUUCAAUAAAAAUGCUCACAUUAAUGUCGUCAAAGAUAACUAAUAUUAAUACAACUUUAAUUAGACAUAGAUUUAGUUCAAUCGUAAAUCAUUUUUAACUAGGAAAAUCGCGUAAGACUAAAAUUGCAGUCAAUAUCAAUUUAUUGCAAUUUUUAUGCACUAUAUUAUAUGGAAUUAAAUAAGUUCAAAAAGCUUUGUGUUUAUGUAAAAUUAGCAUUUACUAGAAUAAAAUUAUUAAAUAACAAUUAAAUUUAGAUACAACAUAUAAUGAGAAGUUUAUUUUUCCUAUCCCUGUUGGGUUCUGGAUCCUUUGAUCUGUAUACAGCUGAUUCGGUAAAGCUAGUUAGCGUUUGGUUUGGUUGGUUUUUUGACCGGCGUUUUGGGUGUCGAUUUAGAAGUUAAAUUGUAUGUGUGUUUGUAAAAGGGUUGGACCACCCCUGAAGUGGUUCUCAUUUAUUGAUUUUUUAUUGCUGAUCAAAAAAAAAAACAAAUAAUUAGUCAUUUUAUUAACUAAAUUAGAUAUUAAUUUAGAGACUAAAACAUUAUUGGUAUCUAAAGUGUUUCUAUUAUUAAUAAAAAUUAUAAAAUAGUUCUAAAUUGAUAUCUAAAUUAACUACCUAAGUUUUAGUUACUAAUAUUUUAUAUGUUAAAUUGAUCUCAAAAAGACUAAUAGAAUCUAAUUUAAAAUAUAAAGUAGUAAGUAAUUAAAAUCUUGAUAGUUAAAAGUUAGAUAUCAAUUAAAAAAUCAUUUUAUAAUUUUUUAUUAAUAAUAGAAAUUACUUUAGAUACUACUAAUUGAUUUCCUUUAUAAAAUGAUCUCUAAUUUAAUUAAAUAGUAACUAAUUAUUUUAAUCUUUAAAAUUAAAUUUUAUUCAAAUUUUUUUCUCUCACCAUUCAUUAUUUGACUUUUUGGGUCUCAUUUUUUCUUCUUCCUUUUCUCUACACAUCUUAAUUGAAUUAUAAAAUUUGCUAGUAACCAUUUCAUGUUUACUUGGAUUAUAACAUAUGUGAUAUUGUAAAAAUAUAUAACAUACUUGGAUUCUAAAUUAUAGUUUUAGAAAAAUUAAUUGAUGUGUUAAUUUUUAGGUUUCAAAAGAUACAUUGAUUGUUUAGUGUGUUUCAUUGAUCAUCACAUACCAUGGUCUAAGUAUAUCACCAUGAAUGUUAAUGGGUUUUGUUCAGUGAGAACUAAAUUUAUUUUACUUUACAAAAAGUUAUGAUCUUGCAAGCAGUUACCACAGCAGUUAGAUAGUGAAUGUGGAUUUUUAAAAUUAAAUUAAAGUGGUUAAAAUCGACUUUAAUAAUUGUAAUAGCAGUAGUUAUUUUAAAUCGAGGUAAUCGAAGUUAUGUUCAGUUCGUCAAUGGAUGAAAAUCGAAACAAUAACAAUUAAAAUUACCACGAAACCACAUAUUUAAUUCACAUAAAAAAAUCAUUUUUUUAAAUAGUGUCUAGUGCUUAAAAUUGAGACUUCAUAUACUUUGAAUUCGAGUUUAGGAUAAGUUUUAACUUCUUCUUUUUGUAAUAAAUUCUUAAUUUAGCAAAAACAAAUGAUAAAUUUUUGGUGGUCGAAGAAAUUGUGAUAUUUUGUAUUAUUAAGGAAUAAACUGUUGCUAAAAAUAUUUGAAAAGCAAAGUAAUGGCAGCUUUGUGGUAGAGAACUAAAAGUCUUAGGUUCAAUUAAGACUGAAAAUGAUUCAAACCAAAUUAAUUAUGUUGUAAUAAUUGAUUCGUUGAAUUUCAUUCGUAAACCAAAUGAACCGGGUUCAAGUUAAAUAUUUAGCGUCAUAAGAAAAUGAAAUUAACUUUAAUCAUAUAUAACAUGACCCAAUUUUCAGUUAUAUAUAUAUAUAUAUAUAUAUAUAUAAUAUUUCUAUAUUAGAAAUUAAUUGGACUUAAUCUAUUUCGAUCCUAAAUUUGAUGCUUGAUAUUAUCAUUAUAUAUGAAAAAAAAUGUGAAAUCACUUUUAUAAUUUUGAAGAGCAAAAUUGAUGUUAAAUAUCUUUAAAAAAUAAAAUAAAUAAAUUUUAUAUCUUUAAAAUUUUAAAUAAAAUUCAGCAUUCAACAUAUAAAAUAUUAUAGUAUUCAUUUCACGGUAACAUUUGAAAGUAAAUCCAAUCUCCAAUGCUAUUUUGUCUUUUGUUUCUUGGUUUCAAUUAUAUUCUGAUACUCAAAUUAGUUUUAGUUUGAGUAAAAGAUGAUAUAUGAGUAAAAUGUCACAAAUUAACAAAUGUUCAAGUCAGUUUUGUAAAUUUGUCUAACUCUGAUUCUAGUGACUCUGGAACACAAUCAUGUCUUCUUGGAUUAGUCGCAAGAUAGACAAUAGGUGAUUGUUGGAGCUAACGACAAGGGUCCUUAGGCGGACUUCAUUGUCAAAGGUGCGAAGUCUGGGGAGAUUCAUGUAUGUGAUGUUGACUAUGGGUGGGUGGAUGAAUCUGUUCGAGAGUACUUCUCGAAGUAUUGAUGCUCGUCCAUGAUCGAGUCCUUUGUCACUAGUGUUGAUAUGCUAUAGGACAUUGUGUUGAUGAUACUAUAUCCCUGCGAAAAUGUAUCUUUUGAUGUUUUGUGUUAUGGAUGAGAAAGUUUUUUCCUACUUUUGUUCUUGUCUAAUAAUGGACAUUCACGUUCGAUUCCCAUUGGAAGAGUUCUUCAUGGGUGUAUUGCAAGUGUUGAAUGUUACGUUGACACUGUUACAUCUGAAUAGUUGGACAUCGUUGCAGGCUGUUCGGUUGUUGUGUCCGACAUCAAACCUGAUGUCGACACUUAAAAUUGUUCUUACAUUUUUAUAACACUAGGUCGGGAGAUCGGGUAGGGUGAUGAUAUUUGAAAAACUAUUAUUUAUUUUAGUUAUAUUGCAUUCAUAUAGAUUUUGAAUUGAAUAGUUGUUGAGAUUAAAUGUAUAUUAGAUUUUAUUUGUUAGAAUUGGAUUGAAAUAAUUGGAACAAUAAAUAUAGAAAUGAAUUGGUAUGUGCCCAAUAAUAAAGUUGUGUAGGAAUUUUCACUCAAUCGAGAUAUAUCUCAUUUAAGCGAAGUUGAAGCAGUAAGUUAGGUUUACUCUCGAUUUAAUUUUUGAUCGAACAAGAUAAAUCUCGUUCAAAUGAAAAUUAGACAGUAAAAUGUGUUUGCUCUUGACUCGAUUUUUGUUCAAACAAGAACUUUAUCUUUCAAGUGAGGAUUUAUUGCUCAUUUGAUGUCAAUUUUUACUCAAGAUAAAAGUCCUAAAUAAAAUUAAUUUAGAUAUUUUAAAAAGGUGUUUCUUUAGUUUAGUUAAAUGUAUAUACAUUUAUAAAAAAAUAUUGAAUUAUAUGUUAACAUUUGAAUUGUUUAAUUUUAUUGAAUGAAUUAUGCUUAUAGAAAUGUAGUGUUUAUUGGUGACUUCUUAAAUGUAAUUUCGGGUGAAUUGAUGGUCUAUGAUGUGAUGUAAACCAUAGUAUUUACCAAUGAGGUAAUGAUAUGUAUUGUGUAGUAGUGAAAUAUAUUUAAUUUGGAAUCUUUACAAAAAGAUAAUUUUGACUUUAUUGUUUACUAAACUCACUGACAUAAAGAAAGAUAACAAAAGAAAAUAUUUAAUUGAUGUUUUCAUGACUUAACUUGCUAUUUGAAACGCAAUUGAGUUUUAAAAGUUAUAAGAGUUUAUUCUACCAAUAACUAGACAAUGUUAAUUGUCUUUUUAUCAAGAUAAUGAUAAUGUGAUAACUUCCCGCAUAAAUUUUGAAGUAUAAAUUCAACUUAUUUCUAUAUUCUUUUUUUUUGGAAUUCAUCACAUUUUAAGAGGCGAAGAAAUGUAGGAAAACUCACAAAUCAAGAAAUAAAAAGUAAUAAAAUACAAAAAUUGAGGCAAAAGUGUUUUAAGUCUUCUAUGUUCACAUAUUUGCGAAGAUUUACGAAAAAUGUGAUUAAAAAUAUAUAAAUUAUAUUAAUAUAUAUUUUAUAAUUAUUAUAUUAACUAUAUAUUAUUAAUCAAUUCAUAUUUAUAUUUUAUUAUAAUAAAAUAAGUAUAAUUAAUUAUAUAAAAUAUUAUAAAUAAUAAUAAUUACUGAAAAAAUUAAUAAAUAUAUAAAAUGAUAAUUAAAAUAAAAAAAUUAAUAAUAAAUUUAUGAAAUAAUAACUAUAAUUAAAAAAAUUAUAAUUAACAAUUAAUAAUGAUAAAAAUAAAUAACAGUAAAAUUAAAAUUAAUUUAUAAUAUAUAUUUUAUAAUUAUUACAAAUUUACAUAAUACCAUUAAAAAGUCAAAAUUAUCCUUAAUUUUAUUUGUAUAAAAUAUUUAAUAAUAUUAUUAUAUAUAUAUAAAUAAUAAUAAUAAUAAAUAUAAAUAUAAUUAUUUAUACAAUAUAUUAUUAUUAAUAAUUAUAAAAAACAAAUAUAUAAAUUAAUUAAUUAUUUUUUUAUUAUUCAUGUAUUUUUAAAAAUAAAGAUAAAUUUAUAAACAUAUAUUUUAAAUCUUUUAAAAAAAUUAAAAAUUUUAACACAACCAUCGUAUCAUUUAUAAAAUUCAAUAAACUUUUCUCACAAAUCUACUUUAAGAUACUUCAAUCGCUUUCCAAAUGAGUCUAAAUUCACUAUGAAAAAUCUCAUCCCCAAUUCAAAGAAUCUCAUCCCCCCAAUUCAAAGAGAGCAUGAUGAGUUUAAUGUGAUGUGAGUCCAAUAUGUGUGGGAUGUGACACAAAAUAGAUACACACUUGAAUUGCCCAUAUAUAAAUCACAUGUACGGUGUGAAUGCCAAAUGUCUGAGAUUCAUGUAAAUUAGGUAAGUUCUUGUAAAUUUUCUAUCACCUUGAAUUGCCAUUCAAAAUUGAAAGUAACCUUCCCUAAACAUUUUAAGAAAAUUCUAACACCAGAGACCUUAUGGUAAACAAACUGGGAUUAUAUUAAAGGGACUAGAAGAAGUGUUGCAUUGAUAGUGUUUAUAAACUAUUUUUGACCUGAACUCUGAAGAAUUCUGAACAAUUGUGAGACUAUAUUGAAAGUAUUGGAACAUAUCAUAUGAUUAUUUGUUAAUUAGGGAAUCCCAGAAACUGUAACUGUUAUCACGUUCCAUUGCAGAUUAAUCACAAAAACAUGAUGAAUGUUAUCUUACAGAAAGAAAUUCUCAGAUGGGUAUAGUUCCAUGCCAUGCUCUGCUACUUUUGCCCAGUGAGAAUCUGUGGCUGGAAAACGAUCUCUUCAUUGCAAUUGGACUCAACACACAAUGCAGCACCCUUGUUUUGUAACUCUCUCUGCGUGAUCUCUUUGAAGGGCCAGGUUCAGUGGUAGAACACCCUUCCACAUAUGAAUCUUCCUCUUCAUGCCUCUGAAACGAAUGGUCCAUUGACACUGACCUACCAACGGAUUCACACACUUCAUCUCUUAUCUCAAUCACUCUGUGCCUUCCCUGCAAGCUACUCAAGUCACUAAAAGCACGCAAUGCAGGCUUUGGAUAAGCCCUGGCAUGGUGUAUGCCUUCUUCUUCCAACAUCACCACCACUCCAUACUCAUUGCCACUUCCAACACUUUCACUCUCAGAAAAAGUUUCAUUGUUCCUUAAAGAAGGAGCCUCUUCCUCUGGGGUAUGAGCCCGAGGAACAGAACCGUUGUUGAAGGUGAAUAUGGCAGCACGACAAAGGGGGCAGCUAGAGUGAGACUUGAGCCAAGUGUCGAUGCAAGGGGCAUGGAAAACGUGGCUGCACUUUGGCAACAGUCUAACACUUUCAUCGUCUUCAAACUCGCUCAGACAAACUGAACAAUCCGUGACUGCAACAGAACCACCAUCCCUUUUCUUGUACUUGAAAAUUGCAAUGGAUUUGAUCAGAGCCUCGUCAAGCCCGGUGCUUGAAGCGUUCCAUGGUUCGUGGAGAGAGGGAUUGUGAGUGGCUUGCAAGUUUUCAUUUGGGUCUCUGCGUGCAGACUCUCUGGGGCCACAGUACUUGGAUAUGAGAGUGUAGUAACUAGCCAGAAGAAAAGCAGUGGCCAUGAUUCCAAUGAUUGCAAUGACAAGAGGAGAGAAAUUUGGGCUUGAAUCAUCAUCAGGGUACUCAAAAGGUGGAGGAGGAGGAUACACUAUGUAACACCACUGUGGACAAUACAAGCUACAAAAUCCUUGAGAACAGUCUUUGCUGUUCAUGUAUGGAAUCCAAGUUCUGGGGUUGGCAACAGCGGCCAUGGAUACUAACUCAUGAAUUAUCUCAGAAUCAUGGUUUUCUGUGUUCCUAUCUGGUAUGUUUUCGUUUUCUGACAAGUGAAAGAAGCUAUUGACAGUUUAACAUCUCAGAGGACUAAAGAACACGACUUAAAUAACAAACAGAUAGCAAUAAUAGGUAGCAGAAGAACUUGUAUAUUACAUAACAAGAAAGGAAAAUUAAGGGGUGAAAAAGUUAUAUGUGAAAACAAUGAAUAGAAGCAUAGGUACAAAAUAAAGGGAAAUGCUUAUGAGUGGGAGAGAGAAAGGGAAAGAAGAGCAUGCAGAGAGAGUUUUGGCAGAACUCACGUUUCCUUCAAGACAAGAGAAAACGUGAAUAAGAGGCCAAAUGCUUUAGAUGGAAAGCAAAUUGGAACUCUGGUGGGAAUACUUUAACUUUUCUUUUUCCUACUUCUUUUUCUUUUGCUGUUCAUAGCUUCCUUUUGUUUUUGUCUAGUUUAUAUAUCUUGGUUGAAAUUUUUUGUUGACCAAGAGGGAGGAGUACGGUGUGGUGAUGUUGGUUGGGAAUUUAUUAAAAUGAUCAAUGCUUUUUGAUUUUUCUUUUUGUCCUAUACUACCAUCCAAUUCAAUGAGAUUUCAAUUCUUCAUCUUAUAGAUUAUUAAGAGUUCAUUAAUGGCUACAGCUAUGAGAGGAGAUAAUUUGGCCGUCAAGUUAGUUGUACCUGACAUGGAAGUGGGGUUAUGCUAUAAAUUUUUGAACAUGUUUCAGUAUUCAAUCACCAUAAGCCAUGUAAAAACCAGAAAGAUAUCUUGAGAAAUUGCUUCUGGUUCUGUGGUGAGUCUUUGAAUGUAAGCAUAUCACAGUGCUCUUUAAAAAAGAUUUCACAAAAAAUAGUAACGAAUCUAUUUUGCUGUGAACACUUGCACUUUUGCUAUUUAAUAAGAUAUGGUGCUCCACUGUCUCUUCCCUAUGCAUCAUAUAGAUCCUUUCAGCAACUUUAGCUGUGAUUAUCCUAUUUUACUUGAAUUCUGAAUCCUAUAGUGAAUCCAAGAACUUAUAUUUUUAAUUGUGAAUCAUUUUAUAUGGUAAAUAGUAAGAUUCGUAAAUAUUUUAAAAAUAUAACACAAAACAUAAAUAUGUAAAAAUAUAAUUAAUAAUCACAAUUAUGUUAAAAAAGAAUGAUUGUAUUGCUAAUCAGAUUAGGUUAAUAUUAUAAUGGUUGGAUUUGACUGGAUUGAAUGGUCCAACUACUUUGUUAAAUGCAAGAAAAAUUAAAAUUAGAGUUUUUAUAAAAUUUAAGUGAUCUUAUAUGAUUCACACCUAAACCUAAAAUAAAACUCUAAGCGAUGAUAUAGAACUGGUUCACAAUUCAUAUACUUCGUGAUACUAUUCACACGAUACAACUGCAAUACAAGAAUAAAAACAAUUAUUACACUACAAAAAAAUCAUCAAAUAGAAACCAAUUUUUAGAGACCAAAAUAAUUAGUUGUAAUAGUAACUAAAUUAGAGACCAUUUUAGAAACUAAAAAAAAAUUGGCUUUUAAAUUAGUUUAUCUUAUUGUUAAAUAGUUUAUAAAUUGGUAUCUAAUUAGCAACCAAGGUUUUAGAGACCAAAUUUAGAAACUAAAUAAUUAGUAGUUAAAACUUUGGUUGUUAAUUAGAUACUAAUUUAGAAACUAUUUAACAAUAAUAGAAACUAGUUUAAAAACCAAUUUUUUUUUUAGUUUUUAAAAUUGUUUCUAAUUUAGUUACUAUUGCAACUAAUUAUUUUGAUCUCUAAAAAAUCAUUUUUAUUUCAUGAUUUUCUUGUAGUGUUAUGACAAUUUGUAUCGCAUACAUCUGGAACCCCGUAUCGUAUUGUAUGAUUCGUACAGUGAAUCGUAACAUAUUUACUACUAUGUUUUGCAUGUGUAUAUUUUUUUUCCUUAGUAAAUAUUUUUCUCUCCAUAACUUGUGAUUAACUUCUUUUGUAAGGAAAUAUUCCAAUAUUAAAAUAUAUAAGUCCUUGAAGGGUACCCUAUCAUAGAUAAUAAACCAAACCUUGUGUUACACGACAACAAAUCCUUUACUCAUUUGGUAACCUAAUUAUAUCGCUGCUUCAUUUGACAUCAUGAUAUAUGUUGCACAUAUUCAUGACGGAAUAAAGGUGCAGUAAGAAAAAAAAGAGGCUAAAAUUAUGGUCCGUUUUAAAGGUUGUGGUCAAUUAUAAUUGUCACUUUUCAAGAAGCACUUAACCAACCAAGGGACCCUAUUUUCUGCUUUUUCAACCUCAUUUCAUGGGUGGCAUCACUAGCUGAUAGACAGACAUCUAUGAUCUUACUGUUAUAUAUAUAUAUAGACAGAUAGAUACAGUUUUGAAGUGUUAGUUUGUUAAGAAUGUGUCUGAUACCAUAAGCAGCCGUCGUUACAAACGAAAGGAGCAGCAGAAUGAUAGGCACAAAAACCAAGAAAUUCUUGAAAUGAGCCCUUUUUGAGUAUUUGACAGAUCAACUUAAAAGGAGAUCCUUAGUUUCAUGUCCAUUAUUAGCUCCUUCUUUCCUUUUUUCUGGAUCUGUAUGUAUCGGUACGGACAGGUUAUUAGGUUAUUCGGUUUCGGUGACAGAGCUUGAAUGAGAGUAAUCAUAAUUAUGAAAACUUUUCAAUAAUUACUUUCUACUAAUAAAUUUAAGUGAUAUCAAUAUAUUAAUAUAUCAAUUUAUCAAUAUAUUUUUCUAUAAAUUUAGAAUUAUGUUAUAAAUCUGAAUUUUAAAACUAACUCAAUUUCAUAAAAUCAGCUUAUGAGAUGAGGUUUACACUCACUUAUAUACAAUGAAAUAUCCUAAUUUUUAGUCAAUGUGUUAGUACUUGAUGAGGAUCUCCAACAAAAUCAGUUAGUACUUGAUAUUUGAUUAUUCAAUUCAUCAUAAUGAGUACUCAUGACUAAACAUUAUAAAUAAACACUUUAUUAAGAUAUACUUUAAUCAACUUUUAUAAUACACUUUUAUACAGAACACUUACUUGAUUGUCGAAACACUUUUUUCAAGUCAAUUUGGAUCGAACACCAACAAUUAAAAGAAAAAAUUUAAAAAGAGAAAUGAAUAGGUAACCGACACAUAACAAUUGUACAACUAGUUUUAUGUAUUAUCUAGGUCCAUUUUAUCUACAUACAAUAUCUGUUCGGGUAUCUUUAUAGCAAGAAAAAAAAAAUAGAUGAGUGAGUAAAGACCAUAGGUAUAAAAAUAUCGGGUAUCUUUAUAGCAAGAAAAAAAAAAUAGAUGAGUGAGUAAAGACCAUAGGUAUAAAAAUAUAACUCAUGCAUACUUUGAAAAAUAAAUUAACUGUAAUGAAAAAUCAAUUCGUAAUAUUUUUAAAAUAAAAUUUGACAUAUUAUAUUAAUUUAAAAUGAGAUGAAAUAUAUUAUAUUCUACAUUUGUUAUUAAUUGGAUUGAUGUAAAAUAUACUUAAAAUCCUCUGUUUUGAUACUAUUACCGUAGUUGGAGAACCUUGUAGCACCACCUUUCGACGACCCAACACUAUAUAUCACUUGUCGUCACCAACUUUUGCCACCACCAUCUCACAUUACGUGUGAUGAUGAAUUCUAACUUAUAAGAACAUAGAAUUUUAUUUUAAGAAUUUUUUAUUUCUAUUAAAUAAAAAUUAAACAAUAACUAUUUUUUUGAAAUAAACUUGUCUAGUUUUGUUUACAAUGUGCAUUUCAAGCUUCUUGGGACGGGCUAAAGAUCAUAAACCUAGAUUUGGGCCUUGCUAGCCCAAAAUGCAAAAUCUAUGUUUUGGAGGUGACGGGUGAGAAAUAAAAUCUAUAUUUCUACGUGGUUCGAAUAGAAACUUUUUCUAGCCCAGUUGAACUUAAGAAGGGUAAAAAUGAUGAAAGGAUUUCCACUUCCAUACUUUUUUUUCAUCCCAUAAACAUAAAAAAUUCCAUUUUGCUAUCUGUAUUGUACAAUCUAGAAAUCAAUUUGUUUCUAGAUUGCACAAUUCCAAAUAGUGUAAUUUAAAGGCAAAAAAUAUUUUCGAAUGCAAUUUGAAAGUCAAAAAUAAAUUUUGAAUGGUAUAAUUUAAAAAGUAUUUUUUUAAAAAAAAUAAAAUUAAGAAUCGUGUAAUUUAGAAUGAAAAAAUGAUUUUUAAUUAUGAAAUUAAAACCUAACUCAAAGUGAAACUAUAUAUUAUGGUGGUCGAUAACGACAUAUAAGAUUAACAAACAAUUAUUAAAAAAUUAAAAUAAUUAUAAUAUCAUAGUAAGAAGUGUAUUUUAAUUCAACUUCAUAAAAUUAACUUAUAAAAAGAAUUCAACACUUUACUACAAUGCAUCACUCUUUAGAACCACAAUUUGUGAAGAAACUCUUUAGAACCACAAUUUGUGAAGAAGAAAAGGAUAUAUGAGAAAGUGAAUUCAACAUUGGUCUAACCUAAAAAAGAGGGGCUGUGAAAAAUUUACAAGUAGCAUCAUAAGUUUAAACAAUGAUAAUGAUAUCAUAAUGUAAGGAGAGAAGUUGAAAUAAAAUAUUAAUAUCAUUAGUGAUAGAAUAGCUACAACCCCACUGCAAAGGCACGAUGAGGAGGACUAGAUUCUUUCUUGUGAUUUCUCCAAAGACCCACAUUGCUCUCAUGCCUUUCUACUUUCUCCUCCCUUUGCACUAAUACACAAGCUAUUCCUUUCCAAAAAGUGCUCCUAGAACAUGAAAACCCUAAUUAUUAAAAUGCUAUAAAACUUUGCUAAAGAAGCUUUUAAGUAUCCAAGGUAAGGAACAAAUUCACGUGGGGUUAAUUAGGAACCACGACUCCUCUAUAUUGCUAUCUAAAACCUAUCUAUUCUCCUUGUAAUUAAUCAAACCAUAAUGGCACUCAGCAACAAUGUGAUAGGAGCCAUCAACUUCGUUGCACUGCUUCUCUCAAUUCCAAUCAUUGCUGCAGGGAUCUGGCUAACAACAGAGCCAGCAGAUUCGUGUGUCAAAGUUCUGCAAUGGCCUGUGAUAAUCUUGGGGGUUCUGAUACUGGUAGUGGCUAUAGCAGGGUGUGUAGGAGCCUUUUGGAGAAUGCCUUCGCUUCUGGUGUUCUACCUGGUUGCCAUGUUUGUGCUUAUUGUGUUGCUUGUUAGCUUGGUGGUUUUCACCUAUGCUGUGACCCUUAGAGGCCAUGGGAACAUUGAACCAAAUCGCUCCUACUUGGAAUAUCGUAUCGAUGAUUUCUCACUUUGGCUUCGUCGAAGAGUAAGAAGCUCCAACAGAUGGGACAACGUUAGACGGUGUCUUAUGUCAUCAAAUAUAUGUGCUGAGUUGGAUCAACGGUACCGAACGCCACAGGACUUCUUUAAUGCACACCUAACCCCCAUUGAGGUAACUCAAUUUCUUCACUUCCUAAUUACACUCUGAUUUUCUAAUAACAUCAUUGCGAGUAAACAACUAGUUAAUUUAGUUAUUAAUACUAAACUUUUUUGUUCCCUUAAAACACAAUCUUCUUCACCAAGCAAAGCAUGUUGUGCAAAUUUUUUUAUCAGCAAAAUAAAAUAAAAUGAUACACUUCAAGAAUGUUUUAACUCUUAUACAGACUCUUCAGAAGUGUUUCGAUCCUUAUAAAAAAGUUACCAAAGUUAAUAUAUAGACAUUUUUCAAACUUUACAAAUCACCAAAUUAGUCCUCAAAUGAAAAAAAGUGAUAAGUCACAUUAAAAGAAAUCAGCAUGUACAUAAGAGAUCCUUAUAACCAGUAUUUAGUUAAAACAAUACACACAAUACAUCCUCUAAUACAAUCAAAAGCCCACAAACACAUUUACAAAGCAAAUUCUCUCCCCUACAACCAAAACCCACAAAACCACUCAAAAUUAAACUUGAUUUCUUCAAAAUCUAAAAAAACUUUAUCUGUCAACUAACUUGUCUGGGAGCAGCAAUACCUGUUCUUAGCCUCAGCAACUAUAUAGCUUGUUGUGCAAGUAACCAUCAUUUGAGAUAUCUGGCUUCUGAUAAGAACAAAAAGAAGAGAAAGGUUAAUUCAGCUUUUGCCCCCUCAAAUGUUAUUCCUUUUGAAUUUUCAUGUGAUGCAGUCAGGGUGCUGCAAGCCCCCAACAAAAUGUGGUUACACGUUUGUGAACCCAACGUAUUGGAUUAGCCCCAUUAACACGGCAGAAGACAUGGAUUGCAUGAAGUGGAGCAACGACCAAGCACAACUUUGCUACAACUGUGACUCAUGCAAAGCUGGUUUAUUGGCAACCCUUAGGGUGGAGUGGAGAAGGGCCAAUGUGAUAUUGAUAGUUACCCUUGUUGCUUUAAUUGCAGUGUAUUUGGUAGGGUGCUUUGCCUUUAGGAAUACCAAAACGGAUGAGCUCUUUAGCAAAUACAAGCAAGGUUACUCUUGAUUCAGAACAUCGAAUAUGUUUUAUACUUUGAGGGACUGCUAGUGUUAGAUAAUGAACACUCAAUGCUGCCGGUGGUGGAAACUCAUUUUGUGUUCUCUUAGUUAUUGAAUUUUUUUAUUAAAGAGAAACCAUAUGAAUUUGUGUUAUUUCCUUUAAUCAUCUAUUUGAGAAGAUUUUUUUCUUUUCUAUUUAACUUUUGAGUAUUUUGAAGAUACACUACAAGAAAAAUUAUAUUUAGAGUGGGUUAAAGAUUUAGUGGAUUAAAGAUAGACAUAAAAAUGAAAAAAGGGACAAUCCAAAAAUAGCAUCCAUAGAGGGUGUGUGUUCCAAAGUUGGAUGCUAAUUCUUUUGUGUCGGCAUGUAGUUAGUAGUGUGGGCUAAGUCCUCUAAAUAGAAGCUAACAACGGACUGUUUCUUCCUGCACCUCCAUAUCUUCUUCUGACACCUCCAUACACAACAUGAAAAUACAUUUUUAUCCUUCUUGUGCCACUCCCAUAGAAUAACUUCUGGAUUAUGUAAUCUGGAAACACAUUUGAAAAAAAACUUCCGGAUUACAUAAUCCGGAAGUUAAGAAAAACUUUCGGAUUAUGUAAUCCGAAAAGUAAUCAUACAUAUGAAAAAAGACUUCUGAAUUAUAUAAUUCGGAAGUUAAUUACAAAUUUAAAAAACGACUUAUGGAUUAUGUAAUCCGGAAUAUUCUAGAGGGGCAUUUUUGAAAAUACGAAAAUCUAUGGAGGUGAGAGAAGAAGGUAUGGAGGUGCAGGAAGAAGCAGCCCUAACAACGUAGGUAAGGGUAUCACUAAGGGUGUGUUUGCUUCCAAGUGGGAGGAGGGAGGGGGGAGGAGGGAGGGGGUGUUUUUUGUGUUUGUUUCCAUGGUUUUGAGAGUGGGGGAGAGGAUGGGGGAGAGGGUGGAGGUUUUUUUCAUUCUUCACAAAAUGAAGAGAUUUGUGGGAAUUUAGUAGGAUUAAUGCAUUUUAGCAAAAUACCCUUGUGCAUGCAUUUUAUUUUAAUAUAUAAAAUUAAAUAUUACAUAAAUUUAUUUAUUAUUUAUAAUUUCAAAAAUAUUUAAUUAUACUAUUAAUAACAACAUAUAAUUAUAAAUAAUAAAAUAAUAAAAUAAAAUUAUAAUAUCAACAAUAUAUAUAGUUAUAUAAAUUAACAAAUGAAUAUUAUUUUCAUAAAUUUUAAUGUAUUUAAUAAAUUUAUUUCAAUUUAACACCAAAAUAUUCUAUAUUAUAUUUUUAAAUUUUUUAUUAAAAAUAUAAAUAAUUAUGAAUAUUAUACAUUAAAAAUAUUUAAUUAAUUUAAAUCUAAAAAAAUAAAAUCAUAAUUCAUUAUUUAAAUAUUUUUUUUAAUAAGAAUGACAAUUUUGUAAACUUACAAUAAACCAUCCUCACAAAUCCACUCUAUCAUCCCUCAAUCCAAACAACCUCACAUAUCCUCUCCAAUCCUCACAAAUCCACUCCCUCCCCUCCUCACAAAUCCCCUCCUCAAUCCAAACAAAGCCUAAUAGAGUAGACCAAGCUAUUUAAGAUUGUCCUUAAAAAAAAAGUUACAUGAUAAAAAUAUAUGGAAGAAGAGGUCAAUGUUUGACCUUCCAAAUUUUGUCAUUUUUUUAUAAGACAUUGUAUUGAUGUUAUUUGAGUGGAGAAAAUAUAUAUAAUAGUCUUAUUAAUACAUUGUUGAAUAUUAAAUGGAAGAUUGAAAAUCGUGUUGGUUUUUGUCAAUAUGUUUGUAAUAUGUCAUAUUAUAUUAAUUAGAGAUUUUUUUUUUUCCAUUUUUUUUAUCUCAUGGUUCAAUUAGUUGUACAUUUGGUUACAUAGAUAUGAAAUGGAACCCUAAUUAUUUAGGAUGAAUUUAUAUAAUUGAGUAAUAGAUCAAGAUUUGAAGUAUAAAGAAUCCAUAUCCACCUAAAAUCUCAAUACUCAAAAGGGAUUUAUGUUUAUGGAUGAUAAAUGUGGAAGGGUACUUGGUAUUAGAAAAAUAAACAAAAAAUGUUGUUAACUUAUACUUGCAUGCACCCAUGAGAUUUUUCCUACAUCAUUAAAUAAAAAUUGGAGACAAAAAAAAUAAUUACUUUCUGUAUUAAUUAAAUUAAAUACUAUUUUAGAUACUAAAAAAUUAUUGGUAGUUAAUUAGUUUUUAUUACUAAUAAAUUUUUAAUAUCUAAAAUAGUAUCUAAUUUAAUCAAUAUAGUAAUUAAUUAUUUUUAAUUUUAAUUUUAAUUAUUAUUUAAUAUUUUUUUUAAUAGUGUUAUAUGUAUUUAAAUGAUGUAAAAUGUCCUAAAAUAAUCCGUGAAAUUUUUUAGUUAGAAUAGUUUUAUAAUUAUCAACAUAUGAUUAAUACAAUCAUGAAAUAAUUAAAAUAUUUAGUUGUAGUUAAUUUUAUUUUACAGUAGAUUAGCAAUACCAUAAAAUUAUCACUGGUUAGUUGUAUAUGAAUAUCAUUAAAUUUGCUUAAGUAACUAAAAAUAAUUAUUGCGAUUGAACGAAACAUUUAUUCGGUUAAGUGAAUAAAAACAAAUGAUUGUGAUCGAAUCAAAUAUUUCUAAGAAGUUUAUAGUAUCUUAUGUAAUGAUAAUUUUAUCUCAUAACUAACUAAUAAUGUUAAUUAUAGGGUUGUUGAAAUGUCAAAUAAUAGUUAACCAUAAACCAUCAAGAAAUUCAUUAAAUAACAACUAAAAUUAGAGAGAAAAAUAAUUAGUUAUUAUAUUAAUUAAAUUAUAUAUUAUUUUUGAGAUUAAAAAAUUAUUUAUAUAUUAAGUAGGGAUGGCAAAGCGGGACGGGCUGACCUUUUCACCCCGCUAACCCGCAUUAGCCCGCCCCGUAUUAGCUCGCAGCCUACGCGGGCCAGCAGCAGGGCGGGACGGGCUGGCCUGCUAAUCCGCAAGAAAAAAAAUUUGGCACUUAGCAGCAACAGGACAAUGUAAUUAGGUUUUCACAAAAUUUAAAAGAAAGAAACACAACACAAUCGCGUCAAUAAUGUUUUGGAAUUAGGUAUUUUUAAUGUUUUGGAAGUGGAAGAAUAAUGAUAUUUGAUAUUUAUCUUAAUGUUUAAUGUUUUGAUGUUUGACUAUGUUUGAAAGGGAAGUUUUAGGUUUGAUAAUAACAAAUAUAUAGGUUUAAUUUAACAAUUUGUUAAGAACAAAAUGUAAAAAAAAAUAUUUAAUUUGUUUUAAAAAAAAAAGAACGUGGGUCGGUCCGCAAACUCGCAGGCCAGCUCUGGGGCGGGUCGAGAAUUCUAGUCCGCAAUAACUUUGCGGGACGGGCCAAUGCGGGGCGGGCUGACCCGCUUUGCCACCCCUAAUAUUAAGUGAUUUUUAUUAUUAAUAAAAAUUUAUAAAUGAUUUCUAAAUUGAUAUCUAAAUUAAUUACCAUGGUUGUAGAGACUAAUUUAAAAUUUACAAAUUUUUAUUAAUAAUAAAAACUAUUUUAGAUAUAAUAACUUGUUUAAUUUCUGAAGUGAUCUUUAAUUUAGUUUAAUAAUAAUUAAUUAUUUUAGUUUUUAAAAUUAAUUGUAAUUUGAUGAUUUUGUUAUAGUGUGUAUAACAAAAUUAAUGUUAUUUGUGAUUAAAUGUGUAAUUUUGAACCAUUCCAGAACAUUAUAUCCAUAUUAUUUUGUCUUAAGCAAGGUUAGGAGUUGGGUUGGUACUGGUUUUGGUAGCUUUAAUGACAGUUCAUAUUUGUUGAACUUUAAACAAUAAGACAAAAUCGGUUUUGAGGGAAACCUUGUUUGGUUCAUAUCAAUUCUGAUAGAUUUAGAGACUAGUCAUUUUUGACAACCUGUUAUAGCUGGCCAUGGGCCCAUAAUAUCUUUUUGUCCAAGCCCAGCCCACUUUAUUUAACUGAAAACUAGGCCUACCAAAUCAGUUGGUACCCUCCAUUUUAGUGGCCUUAUAUGAAAUUACCUACCACAUUGCCCAAUUAAUGUCCUUUUUUUUAAAAUAAAAAAAAAAUUGUUUUAAGUUUUUAUUAUGUAAUUUUUUAAGAUUUAACAUUAAAAAAAUAGUGUUGAAAUUGUUAAUUUAUUUUAAAAGUUUAAUUUCUUAAUACUAAUAAAAAGUUAAUAUUCAAAUAAAAUUUAGACUGAAUUAUUCUACUGAAAUUAAUUUUAUAAAAUACAUAAUAUAAUUUUUUAUGGAUCAGACGAGACUAAUUAAAUUUUGUAACACAUUUUCUAUUGACCAAACGGAUCUAAAUAAUUAGACUCAUUUCAGAUACACACAACUUAACAUGGAAAUCAGAUAGAAGUCAUUUCUAUAAGGUGCAAGGGAUCAGACCCUUUCCUAUUUCACGCGUAAGUGUGUGAGAUUGUGGUGGCCCCAGAAAGUUUAGGUUCAAUAGGAAUUAGGACUGCUACCAAUCCCAUAGUCAAUUCAAGAGUGGGAAACCAAUUAAUGUGGGACACUCCCUAAACUUUAAGACACCAAAACAAAAAUGAAGUGCUCUUUGGUGAAGUGUGUUUUGGUAAGUGUCUGCUUUGAGGGAUAGGCGUAAAAUAUGUGUGGGUGGGUUGAGUCAAUAUUGUUGUACUUGUCCCAUGAAUGACAUGGAUGAAGUGGAAAUUGUAGGACGUGUGGUAGGGUGACAGCCCUAAACCCUAAAAGUGGAUGAUGAUUGGAAUCUUAGUGGCGUGGCCCCUGGGAAGGGACUUCACACAACUAUCUUAACAAACCAACAAAAACAAAUCAUUCAUUCAUAUUCAAGAGAGUUGACUCCUACACAUACCCCACACUUUCCUUCUUCUCUUACGUUACGUUAACUGGAUUAGAAUAAUUGUGCCUAUCUCCUCAUCCCAUCCAUUAACUAAUCACUUCAAAAUGCCUCUCUCCCAUUCCCUUAGAGGUCAUCUUCAACUUCCAAAUACAUCUCAUUCCCUCUCAUUUGCUUGUUUUUGUGUACCACAAACAUUUUUAAUAAGAGAUUUCACAUCAAAUAUAAAUAAAUACAUUUUAUAAUAUAAGUAUAAACUUUAUUUUAUAAGUUAGUUUUAUGAGAUUAAGGUAGACUUAAAGUUCACUUAUUCUUAAUAUGAUAUCGUAGUUAUUAGAAUAUAUCAUAACAAAAGUUUGUUGAACCGAUCAGGUCACCAGAUGUUUGUGGUCGUAAUUGUUGUAGAAUAGAAAGUAGAUAUUGCAAAGAAACAGAAAAGCGAUUUUUGAAACCACGGUGCCUAGUCUUGCGGAAGCUUUUGGAGAGCGUUGAUUGAAGAAAAUGUGUCAAAUGCGGUUAUGAACGUGCAACAACAAAAUAAAUUCAUUUCUGAAGGUGCAACAACAAAUGAAAAUCAGUUAUGGAGAUAAAAAAAAUCUUUGAUUCCUCUCCCUCUAUAAAAAGGAGGUUCCAUCCUCUUCAAAAACACAUCUUUAUUGCCUCUUCCUUCUACCAUAUCACUUCUUCCUAUUACCUUUUCACUUUUUCUCUUUCUCUCUCAUCAUUUACUAUUAUUAUAUUUCUGGGUUCUAUUGGGUAUUACUCUUUUAAGAGUAACUUGCUAGUUUUGAUCAUCGAAAAUCUUCACGAAGUUUCUGUUGUAUCCUGAGGAACUUGCGCAAUACACUGCGAAUAGAUCCUUAUGGACAAUGAUUACUUACCUCUCAGAAAUCUAUUUUUGUUCGUUUUAAAGUCUAUUUUACUACAAUGAGAGAAUGUUGAAACUUAGGGACAAGAAUGUUAUGGGGGCUUUGCUUCAUCCUUAUAUACUAGAGCAACCAUACUUUUGUUUGGUUGAUUGGUGAGUCGUAUACUUGAAAACAAAGGUGUAUUUGGCGAAGUGUGUUAUCCUUAUAGAUGAAAGUCGAAAUGGAAGAAGAAAGGAUAGAGAAAGUGGUACACUAAUGAGUGUACUAUAUAUAAAUUGAGUCAUGCGUUGUGAAUUGUUAAAUUAGCAACUUGUUGAGGCGAUGUCAUCAUCAAUUUCCCUAUAUAUGCCAACAAAUUCUCACUGCCAAUAAUAUAGCUUUUCCUAUAAUUUUUUUGUGUUCUACUCCCUACCUUUUUUAUACCCAGAUUAUCAUAUUAAAUUCCUGUGCCGCCAAAUUAUUAUAAUUUCCAACAUAAAAUCCAAAUGUGUGGCUGUUAACCCAAAUAAUAUUCUCAAGAAUUUAUUUCAAAGCUUCAAAGUAUAAGAAAAACUUGUCCUUUCAUAUAUACCGAUAUUUUGUAGACAAAAAAUGGGUUUUUGUUUUUCACAAACACUAUAAUUUCAUUUGAUAUCUUUUAAAAUAAAAAUAUAUUUUAAAAAUUCAACAAGUCAUAAUUGUUAUUAUGCAUAAUUUUAAUUUUUAUAUUAAACUGAAGUUGUAUCUGAUAAAUACGAUAUUUAUUAAUUUUUACUAAAAUCAUAUUUUACAUAUAUGUCAAAAUGUUUUUUCAGGAUCUAGAAACAAUUAACUCAUUUUUCUUUCGUCUUCUCGGCUUCUCAAUCUCUUGAUAUUGACUUGGACUUUCGGCUACAAUGUCCACUAAUUUGGAUUUGGGUUGAAUUUUGGGUAAAGGAUAUGGGUUCUCACUUGUUAAGCUUGGUCAGGUUCAACUUUCGACUUUUGGGCUCUAGGUUAACUCUCGGGCGGGUGUGUACCUACAAGAGGUUUCGAUGAUAAAGUUAGAAUGAUAUUUGAUUAUCAAAUAAAAAUCACUCUACAUACCUCUUAGGCAGAUCGCCUAUUUAUAACACUCACUUGUUGGGUUUCUGACUUAAUUGGACUUUUACUUUUUACACCUUACAAUUAUGAAAUAUACUAUAACUGUUUUGGACCUAUUUAUUUGAGCUUUCAUACCGUAUUUCCUUAUUUCAUCACAUUCUCUCGGUCUUUCGGCCUAGCCAAUAGUCCAAUUUCAAAACAUUUUUUUAUUCAUUUUAAAAAAUAUUAAAUAAAAUUACAUUAUUUGAUAUAAAAAAAAAUCUUAUUUUUAAAAGAGUGAUAUGUGUUUUGUGGAGGAGAGAAACAAGAUCUCUACUCACAUAGAAACAAGAGCAACGUUAUCGGAAUAAAGGAAGUAGUGUUCCCCCACAGAGAGUUAUGCGUGCAAGACAAGUACCGUGGGAACCAAGUAUUGCAAAAAAAAAAAUAAUGAAUUAAAAUGGUCUAAUGAUCCAAUAAAUAAAAAUUGAGAGUUUUUUUAUUCUAUAAUUAUAAAAAUUAAUAAGAAUUAAAAAAAAUUAUAAUUAUUUUUCUAUACAUAUUUAUUACAACUUUAUUACUUUUAUGUUUUUAGUAACUAUAUUUUAUUGUACCAAUUGGUAUAUAAAUUUUUUAAUUGAAUUCAUUUACUUUUAUUAUCAUAGAAAUAUGGACAUAAAUAUUUCAUAUAAGCGUGGACAAAAAUAAAUAACACUAUUUGUAAUUAUAACAUCGAUGACUUUUUAACGGUGUACUUUAUGCUUUCAAGCAUUAGCCAGAUAUUGGUACAGAAUAAUUUGCUAUGCUAAUCUUUAACCAUAUUUUGUAUAGAUUUUCUUUCUAAAGUUGAUCAUAUCCAUGUCUUUUUUUUGUAAGAAAAUAUAAUGAAAUUGACUUAAAAACAAUAAAAAUGACCUGAGAUGUUUAAUAGUAUCAUUCAAAACUUCUCUUUAGUUUUUUCAUUCAUACAUAAGAAUCUUUGCCUACCCAAUAUUUAUGGGUAAAGUUUACAUUAACAUACCACCAAGACUUAUAUUCAUUUUUGCAGAUUAAAAGAAAAUGGAGAGGGAGAAAAUUAUAAACUUUUUUAAUGCUGGCUUAGAUUGAUUCUGUAUUCAUUUUGUUUUACUCUUUUUGUACUUAUCCUCCAACUCAACAUCAACAUCAACAUUUGUUACAUUUAUUCUAUUGACAGCUAUUAAAAAUUAAAUAUUUUUAUUCAACCCAAUUAGAAGAUCAGAUUGUGUAUAUCUGAUUCUAACCUAUUGCCACUAAAGAUUCUAAAAAGCAAAUUUUUUUUUUACUAUUGAAAUAUUCAUCAUCUUUGUUUUUAUGAUUAGAAAAGGAAAAAAUUUUAACUCAAUCUUAUAAAAUUAAUUUAUAAUUUGAAGUUUACACUUAUAUCAAAAACAACAAUUUAUGUAUGAGACAAUAUAUUAUGAAUGGUCGGAUAAAAAUUUAAUAAAAUUUGCAUCUAUUUAUAUAAAUAUUAUAAAAAUUUUAGUCUCUAAUAAAAAACAAAUAUUUUCAUGUAUGCAAACUGCAAUCAGCACUAUAUUCAGUUCUAAUGCGUUCCGCAACAUAGCGUGAGCGUGGGGUACAGAAUAAGUACCAGGCAACCCUUUUUCAUCUUACAAAUCACAUGCAAUUCAUUCCUUACUUUGCCAUUUAUAUCACAUAUCAUUACUAUAUCAUUUUUUCUUUCUUCUACAUAAUAAUUAAUUAACAUACUUAAUUAAAAUUAUUUUUUCAAUAUAGUUCCAGACUAACUUUUUCUUUUAUCAUUUUCUAUUACUGAAAAACGUGACUUCAUCCAACGUUGCUGCUGCGUAACUAUUUUUGUAGUGACAACAUGCGAUGGAGCUAUUUUUGUAUUUUUGUUUCAGAACAAGAAAACAUAAAUUUUUGUACCUUACAAGAGUUAUAACGAUAAAACAUAACUCCAAAAAAUGAAAAAAUGAAUAUACGCCAAAAAAAAAACAUAUUUAAAACACAGCAUUUUUAUUAUUAGUAUAUAAAACCUCUCCAUGAAAUUUGUCGUUCCCUUCUCUCCAAAGUUGGUCAUUACAGAAAUAUUUUUCCAACUUUUAAAUUAAUUAUUUAUCUUGUUAUAUUUAAUAAUUUCACACAUAGAUUAACGACAAUUUAAAUAUUUAUUUUUUUUUAAAUAUGAAAAAAUAAAUUGUAAAUUUAAUUUAAUUUCAUAAAAUCAGUUUAUAAGAUGAAGUUUACAUCUACUUAUAUAUAUUAUAAAAUGUUUUUAUCUUUAAUCAUUGUUCAAUAAAUUAUUUUUAAUUUAUGCGGAAUCUCUAACAAGUUAUCUCAAAUCGAUGUAUAAUUUUCAACAAAUUAUUUCUAAUUGAUGUGUAAUUUCCAACUGUUCUAGCCAACUUAAGGUCGGUCGGAAUUUGGAUGAGCAAGACCUUCUGGAAACAAGAGGGGUUCCUCCUGCAAUGACACUCUGACGCUCAAGUCAGUAAGAGCAUAAAUAUAAUGAGUAUAAUAUGAAAUAGGAGUUGAGAGUACUCCCUGUGUUGUUUAUUAGAUGUUUAGAUGAUCUUUUUCUGUAGAGUAUUAUCAGGUAUAUAUAGACUAAAUUAUAACCUCUUCACCUUUAGUCAUGAUUCUGUCUUAAUUGAGUCAUUAAGGAUGAUUAAGUCUGAUUGAUUGUGAUCUCUUGACUUGUGCUCCUUCAUAAUGUUAGAUACACAAAUCGGAAAACGACUCAUAAAUGACCAAACAUCGGACCAGGUCUAUGAUCUAACAACAACAAAUUAUUUCUAAUAGAUCUCGAAUAUCGAAAAGUUGCAUAAACAACACCAAUCAGUUGAAGUAUAGCUUGGGUUGCGUGUUCGAAUUUUCUUGAAUGAUUUUUUGUUUUGGGGCCAAUGUGUCUGAGAGUCCCACCAAAGCAGUUCUUGGACCAAGCAAAUUCUGAUAGUUACUUACCUUCUUAUCCAGUUCAGUAUAAACUCCAAGGUCCACCUCUCUCUACACACUACCUUUUCUUUCUUUAUCCAUCCUAAACUUCUUUUCACUACUUCUUUCAUUGCAAAUAAUAAAUAAAUUAUUUUCACCAAAACAAAAAUCAAUUAAGAUAUUUAUUCAUUUUACUUACUUCUAUAUUCUUCAAUUUAUUAUAUUUUUAAUUUAAUCUGAGACUUUAUUAAAGUUCAAGUGAUUUCCACAUUGUAAGUAUUUUUUUCUUAAAGAGAUUUUAUCUUUGAACUCCUCUUCUAGCUCCCUCAAACAAAACAUGUUAUCAUACUUCUAUGUUUAUGCUAAGAUUCUCGAUCUCUCUAUAUAUGGAUACACUUUAAAAAAACUUUUAAUGCAACAUAUCUAUCGAAUACCGUGAGACUCAUUCAUUGGCUUCAUACUAAUAAAUUAUAUAAGUGAAUCACACAUUACAUUCAAUCUCAAUAAAACAUUUAAGUAUUAUAUUUAUGAAUUCCACAAAUCCAAAUUUAACUUUUAUUUUAAUUUUAAAGUAAUAAUCACUAUUCAACUAAAAUUUGAUCUCAUGUAUAACAAGAAGCAAAACAAAUAUUGGGUGUUAAUUUUUUUUAAAUAAGAGCUUUUUUUUGUUAGGUAUCACUAUGCAACUUAAGAUCUUAGUUAAACUGACACCUUAAGUAACAACAAUCAUUCGUCAUCACCUAAAAAAAAUUAUAAAAAUACGGAAUACUAAAUCAAAACUCAUAUGUUAACAAAAACUAUACAUAAAUACUAAAAUAUAAAAAAUUUAACAUAUAGAGAAAAUAGUAUAGUACACUCCUAUCUUAAAAGACUAGUAUAAUGUUACAUGACAUUUGAGUAAUAAUAUAAAUAAUUCAUAUACAUUAACUAACUCAAUAAUAUAAUAUGUGUAACUUAUACACAUUAGCCAAGUUGUGGAUCGAAUUAAACUAAAGAAGGAAGAAAAUAGAACCUAACUAUAGAAUAAUACAUGGGGGGUCUAUCAUUAUGAAUAAUGAAACACUCAAUUAAGCGUCUACAUCAUGCUGAUGUUUACAAUAAGCAUCUGGGUUAUAGAAUAUUAAUUUUGGCUCUUGUUAAUUGCUUUUAAUUAAUCAGUGGAGAAGUUCAUAGAAAUUUUGCAAUCAAAGGGUGGUAUAAAACCAUAUAAAAUGUCUCAAAGGAGUCAUGGAAAAUGACUACACAGAGGAUUUUCAAAUAUGUACGCAGAGUAAUAUGUAUAUAGUAAAGUGAGUGUUGUUGGCAACCUGAAACAAGAACAACCAAUCAUGGCUAGAAAACACAGAAGUAGGGACCCACACAAGGAUGAUCAAGUGUGUUGUAUAGAAUAAUGGUGUGGGCAUGAAAGAGGCUUUCUUUUGCUUUAUCCACCAUCAUCACCAUCUUCUUAUUUUAAGACUUAGUUUUUUUUAAUAAGUAAAGAAUAAAAUGAGAUACUUUAGAAUAAUAAGAAAGUGGUCAAGGUCAACCUACUCAAUAUCGUACUUACAGAUAUUCUUCAGAAUUUACAAACCGUUAAAUCAAUCUUCAAGAUUGAAAGGAAUGGUAAGCCACAUCAAAAGAAAUCAGCAUCUACAGUAUCAGGGUCCUUAUAACCAAUCUUUAAUCAAAAUAAUACAAACAAAACAUCUCCUAAUACAAUCAGAAACUCACAAACACAUUUAUUAAUCAAAUUUUCUCACCUACAAACAAAUACCCACUCAAAACUGAAUCUGCUUACUUCAAACUUCAAUAACACCGUGGCUUAAGCAACUUGAUAAAGGAGUAGGACCCAUUUUCUUUCAUCAAAAUAUUGUGUCUCUAUCUUUUAACCAAGGGUGCAUAUUUGACAAGCACACCAUAAUAUAGAGAAAUGCAAUUCCAUGUCAUACUCUCAAAGUAUUUUUCUUUCUAAAGGAAAGAAAAAAGAGAAAGGGUUAGAUUAUGAUCCUAAUAGUAGUAGGAAGUGUAGAAGGUGGGUUGUGAGAUAUACAAGUAUCCAUCAACCCACUACUUUUUCACUCUAAUAAUGUGCUCCUACAAGGCUGCCAACACAUACUUGGUAGAAAAAAGAAAUAAAUAAUUGGAGUGGAGAUUAUUCUUAGCAUAUGCCACUUAGAUAUGAAUACUUGCAUUUUCAUUAUUUGCAGGUUCUUUUUUUGGGCACAGCCACAAUGAUGAAGGAAUAUUUCUUCCAUCAUUUUACUUUUAAUUCCUGUUCUAAGCACACCAUUAAUUGCUCAUAUUUUACUAUUUCUUCCAAUGUCAAGUUAAUUAAAGUAAUAAGAUUAUUAGAGUUAAUCAUCAUGUUUUUGUAACAAUUUUAUUGUUAGAAUUUUUUCACUAUAUAAAUAAUAAAUGAGGUGUAGAUUAAGAGAAGAAGAUACAUAAAAAUGAUUAUUAAUAUAAAUUUUUAAGUGAUCUGAAACUUGUAAGUGUUAAAACAUAAAUAAACACUUGUUAAAUAUAGAAUGAAAUGAAGAGAUAAAUAGUUUACCUAUCGGUAGCACAAGUUUUCUGUUUUUCAAUAAACAUUUAAAAAAUCCUUAAUUUCAUUGUAAAAAAAUGUUAUAAAAUUAAGAAAAUAUGGGUAAAAUGUGUCCGUAUCCUUAAACAUAUCUAAGAUUUAGUAUUAUGAGUUUUCAAAUUUAUCUUUUUCGUCUAAUUUUACAAUGUCUAUUUUUAUUCUUCUGAACUAUUCAUUUUUUAACAUUAUUUAAACUAUUUAAAGAACAAAAAAUUAAAAAAAAAAAAACUUAAAAAUUAAGGUAGCAAUUCCCCAAUUGAAGCAUUCCUAUCUAUUCCCAGUUUUGUUGUAUAGUAGUAAUUGAAGUUCAACAAUGAAAAAUGCUAUAAAACAUUAAGCAUCUGAAUUUUGCAGCAGAGUAGCAAGUUUCCAUUACAGGGAACGAGGGUAACUAUGCAUAUAUGUGCUAUGACGAACUUAGAUCUUAUAGGUGAAACCAAAUCAGUAAACAAGUUUAUAUUUAAGUAUUUAAAAAUAUAAUAUAUACUAUGUAAGAAAUACACACUUAUAUAAUUUUAAUUGCUGGAGAGUUUUUUUUCAGAUUAAAUUACAGUAUGAAAAUAGCAUGAGAUUGGUGAAGAGGACUUCAUUUUCAUCAUAAAUACAUAAUAGAUAAUAUUAUUUAUAUAAUGUAUUUAUUUAAAUUAUUAUAUUGUUAUUAUAUUAUAAUAUAUUUAUUAUAAAAAAAUAUAUUCAUUAAUUUAUUAUGUUAUAUUAAAUUCGUAAAAGUAUGUUAACUUAUACUAUUGCGAUAUAUUUAAUUUCAUUUCAUCUAAAUAAUAUGGGUCAACGUACUAGUUUUAUUACAAACUACAUAUUUAAUUAUAUAUAUGAAAUAAACAAUAUAGUUCAUUCUCGUUUAGUUUUAUCAUAUUCAAGUAAUUUUUGAGUUACCUAUCAUAUUUUUUUACAUUUUUAUUUUAUUUUAUUUUAAAUUAUGGAUAUAAUAUUUAUAAUUAGAUUUAAUUUUUAUAUAAUAACUUCAUAAAAGGCUUUAAUUCCGUCAUUAUUUUCUAUCAUGACAAACUACCAUUUCAUAUCAAAACUUAUGUAUGUUUUUGUUUUUUUUUUAUAAUAUGUGAUAACUUUUAGUUUUAUUAUUUUAUAAUUUGAUUUUUAUUUAUAUUUUGUAUCUUGUUAAAAGAAUUAAAUCUAUUGUCAUAGACUCAUUAUAAACGUUGGUACCUAUAGAACGCAAACUGAAAGUUUAUUUAAUAUAUGAAUUCAUAAAACCGAGGUUCGGAUACCAUAUUACAAAAUGGACUUUAAGUCUAACUCAACUCCCAUAAAACUGACUCAUAAGGUUGAGAUUUGUACUCACUUAUAUAUAAUGAAAUACUCUAAUCUCUAGUACAUGGGAUCUCCAACAAAAUAUAAAAAAAAAUCAUCUACGUAGUAAUCAAUUUUAUUUUAUUUUUUAAAAAUGAAAUAAACAAUCAUUUUAACCUAUUUAUAAAAACUAGCAUAAAAUAGUAUAAAUCUAACACUUUUGCAUUUGACGUGGGAAAUCGUGUUUUUAAGCUUUUUCUUUUGUUAAUCCCAUGUUACAUAACACAAAUAGAUAAGUUCUCUAAGCAUAGUGGAUGGAGAAAUUGUCUUUUAUUAACACUUCUGUUUUCAAGAAUAUUAUUGUUAUGACUUUGGACCAUGAACAAACCAAUCCACAUAAAAUGAAUCACUACAGCAGGAAAAGUGUGAACUGAUUUGUGACGGUUUUUAGUUAGGAAUUAUCCUCGUAACUUGGUUUUGUUUAACUCUCAGCAACUGAAACACGCUGUGUUUGGUUAUCUCUCACUCUCAAACUUUAUUUCACAUGUUGGCAUUGAUUUGUAACAGGGACGAACAAACGAAGGGACAGUGAAUAGGGUUAGUUUAUAUGUGAGAUUUUAAUACCAAUUUAAGAAUGAAAAAUUUGCAUCAACAUGAAAAUUUACAAACGAAGGGAAAUAACUUCUUUUUCAUGAGUCAACUGCUUAAUUAAUACUAGUCAUAACCAAUUUUUCAUUAAUAAAUAAUUAAAAAUAACAAACAACUAACGAGUUUUAUACAUAAUACAAAGUCUUUUUCUUUUUUUGAGUAAGAACUACAAAUAUAAAUAAAAGAAAAAACAAUAAUUUAUCAAACAAGUCAAAAUAACUAUUUAAAACUAAUAUUUAGGGAAGAAGUACAUUAUAAAAUAAAAAUAAUAAUUUAACAUCACAACCAAUUGAAAAUUGAAAUGAAAACAAAUUUUUUAUAAAAGAUGAAAAGAAGAAUAAAUAAACUGAAGAAAAAAGUUUACAUUAUUCCUUUAUCUUUAUAGGUUGAGACAUUUGUUUAUUUAAAAUUAUGUUGUAACUUGAGAAACUAUAAUACAUAAAAUUAAUAGAUUUUUUGUGCACGGUUAGAAGAUCUUUUAAAUGUUUUACUUUAAUAUUUUUGUUUUUCACCGUAAAAAAAACAUCAAUAUUCCUUAUUGAUUGUAAUUGUCUUACAAAUAACCAUUUAUUUUCAACACCAACCCCGAGCUGAAGGAAAUUAGUGAUGCAAAUGCACAUUGUAGAUUAUAUAUUCUUUAACAAAACUCCUUGCUGUGUGGUAUGAGGAUAUAACAUAACUUUAAUAGAAUAUAUAUUUAAUUAUUUUAUUUUUGUAUAGUAAAAAGAGAAUCAUAUAAAAUAAAAUAUAAUAUAUAUUUAUAAAAAAGUAUAAUAAAAAAAUAUAGAAAUAAGGGUUUGUGUUUUUGAAAAAAUAAAACAAGAAUAAAAAUGAUAACAUGACGUGACACUGUUAUAUUCAUUAUGAAUUGGGUGGGACAAUGUGGUGAAUGAAUGAAAAACAAAAGUAGCUUUGGAAAACCACUUGGAAGAUUUUGUUUUCCAUAAACCUUUGUUUGAAGUACGAACACCACUUUGGUUGGUGAAUUGUGGUAAAAAAUAGUAAAAUAUGAUUCCCGAAAAUGAAAAAGCAGGUCAAAUUUAAAAAGUAGGAGAUCCAAAACGUGGUGAAUGAAUGGAUUUUGCGUUAAGAGGUAAAUUUGGAAAGAAAAUGGAAACCACCAUGAAAUUAUAAGAAAUAGGAAAAGCGAAACGCUUUUAGGGGGAAGCUAUUUUAUCAACUGAUUUCUCCUCAUUCAACAUGUGCCGUUUAUAAACAUUGUGAUUGUUUCGAAAUAUAAUAAGUAGAUUCCAAUGAUGUCUCCAUUAAAAAAUAAUUAUUAUGACAAAUAUAAAUUAUGUACUAUAGCUUAUUAAUUAAAAAUUAUACUUAUUCAAUGGAUUAAUGACUUUAUGAUCCAUAGAUUCAUAUAUUUCUCAUAUUCAUACAUAAUUCAAAUAUACUAAAAUAUAAUGAUUUAAAAUAAAAUCAUUAUUUAGCUAACAACUAAAAAUAAAUAAUGUUUGAAUGAAAAUAACAACAUUAAAUAAUAUAUAAGAGGAUACCUAUUAAUACAAAAAUAAAUAUUUGUACAAUCUUAUAUCUACUAAUCCUAAUUACAAAUCAUAUUAAAAAUCAAUUAAAGGUAAUCUUGAUAUGUAAAUACAAAUUUAAAUAAAUGAUUAUGAGAAAACUAUUUGAUUAUUUUAUUUGCAGUCAUUUCAACGAUAUUCAAUACAUACAUAGAUAUAACAAUAUUUAUAAGACGUUCAAAAGAAUAAGAUUGUUAUUUUAACACUUUCUUCGUAUUAAGAUGCAUUUGUUGAAUUUAAUGGACCAAUAAGUAUUAUCUAUCCAUUAAUAUACACAUCUUCACAUUAGUGCAAAAACGAUGUUUAACAAUAACUUUUAAUAUCGUUUGAUAGUCACACGAUAUCAACAAAAUGCGGUGACAUUUUUGUGAAUAAUGUGAACAUACAGAUAACGGUUGUGGGAAGAAUUGUCGUCUAUACACAAUGGGGAGAAAAUAUUUGAGGGGGCAUAAGUGAUAGUUAUAGAGAGAACCUUCCCCUAUUUGAAGAGACUUCAUAGUCUUUUCUAGUCAAAACCCAAACCUCUUUCCUUGCAUGCUCACUUGGAUUGUAAGUUUUGAAAGCUUUCCUUUUCUCCAUUGUCAUUGAUACGUUGUUUUCUUCAUGUUUUGAUGUUUUGUUUGGGUAUAAAAGUGAGGGUUAUAGGCGGUUCUCUCCGGAUUUAUUUAAGUAUUUAGGAGUUGGCGGGGUGUGCGUUGUAAAAAAGAUUAAAGGUCGUGUGUUUUGUAUAAAGGUUGGGUCACCCCUAAAAUAACUCACAUUUAUUCAUGGUUUAUUGCUGAAAAAAAAAACGUUGUUUUCUUCCAUUUUGCUUUGUUUGUUAGUUUUUUCUUUCAUUUUUGUUGUUAAUGGUAUUUUUUUCUAGGUAAUUGAUCUCUAUUCAAGGUCUGUUGUUCUCUAGUUUUUGGCUUCCUCUGCCACAGUCAUUAGUUGCUUCUUCGUUGCUGGUUCCUUCGCUGCUAGAGCUUUUUGCAUUCUCCUUGUUACCUCUCGGUUAUACUCCACUACCAGGUUAGUUUUUAUUUAUUUUUAAUUAUAUUUUAUUUAUUUAAUUUUUUUAUUUGUAUUGAAAUAAUUUUAUAAUUAUUUUUAAGAUUUAUAAUUAGUAUCGUUAUAGUUAAUAUUAUAUUAACUAUAUAAUUAAUAUUAAUAAAAUUUUAUAGUUAAUAUUAGCGUCUAUAAUUAAUAUUAUUUUAGUUAAUAUGAUUUUAAUUAUAUAGUUAAGAUUAAUAAAAUUUAAUCAUUAAUAUUAGGAUUUAUAAUUAGUAUUAAUAAAAUUUUCUAAUUAAUUUAAAUUUUUAUAAUUGAUAUUAUUUUAGUUAAUAAAAUUUAAUAGCCAUCAUAUUAGGGUUUAUAGUUAGUAUUAAUAAAAUUUUAUAAUUAAUUUUGUGAUUUCUAAUUAAUAUUAUUUUAUUUAUAUAAUUAAUAUGAACAUAAUUUUAAUAUUUAUUGUUGAAUCCAGUAAGAAAUUAAUAUGUACUUAUUAAUUUAUAUUUAUGUAUUAUAUUUAAUUUAAUAAAAAUAUUUUUUAUUUUGUAGUAUCAGAAAUCAAGUCCGCAAAGAAAGAAGCACUUAGUUUACAUUGACAUUAUAUAGUCGUACUAUUAGAGAUUGUUAUGACUAAUGAUACUUUGAAAGAAAUAAUUGUUAGAAUUAAAAGCCUAAAUAGAAAGGGUGAAUUGUUUUUGAAAGAUUUUCAUAAGUAUUAAAGGUAGAGUAAAAAACUAUAAAAUUAAUUAAUUGAAAAUAUGUUUAGUCAAAUAGAAAAAAAAAUUGAUUACAGAAAAUUAACCAGAUGUUUUUACGAAACAACCAACAGAUUUGAAAAUAAAGUUAAAAUAAUUUAAUGAGUAUAAGAAUAAAGAGGUUCACACAAGAUAUUUAUACUGGUUCACUCUUAACCAAAAGUUACACCAAUUAAUCAUUGAAAAUUUACUAUGUAAUCAAACACAUACAAAAAGUGAUGUUAUUGAACUCCCUCAGAACACACACCACUUUUGGAAAAUCAAACUGUUUCCAUAAACACCUUCUGAAACUACACCACACUAGAACACAGAGAAAUACAAUGUUCAAAUAAGAAGGGAAUAAAAUACACCUGGGUAAAUCAAAGUUUAAAAUUCAUAAGUACAAAAUCUAAUACUAUUCCACACACUUGAGAUGACCCAAAAGCUUUUGAAAUCUUAAAAAUUGUUUUUGAUUAAUCUUUCUUUCUUAGUUAAUGUAUAUGAGUAUAAAACAACAUUUUAUACUUUAAUCAAUUAGUCAAAGCAGUUAAAUAAAAAACCAGAAACAGUUACAAUCAUUUAAAACAGAUUGGAACCACCUAAUAGAAUUUUGUUAAGGUUUAAAAAAAAAACAAUUGAUUCCUCAAAACAAUUGAUUGAAUCUAUUUGACAGUAAAGCCAAAACAAAGCAAAGUUUUUCUAACCAUUUUAAAAAUCAUUAAGUGUCAAACAACCAGUUGAUUUGACAUUUCAACAUGUUAAAAUUGUACAACCUUUUAGAAAAAACAUAUUUUCAAAAAGAUUAAGAUUCAAUUAACAUUGAAUCAUCUUAAGGAGUGAAUUAACAAGUUUCAAACAACUAAGCAACACACACAUCAACAGAGUCUUCAAGUUUUCCACUUGGAUUUGGAGACCUCAAAACACCUUGUUCAACAAUAAUGACAUCCCUUUAUACAUACACAGGUAUGAUGUGUUAAAGAUUGCAGCUACCAACGAGUACCUAAAUAUAUCCGUCAUUUAAUUUGAAUGAUAUAAAUCACUUCCACCUAUAAAUCAAUUUACUUUAUUAUAUUAAAUUAUUAAUUAUUUUUAACUAAUUAUAUUUGUAGUUAUUUAUCUAGCCUUUUUAGUAGUAAUGAGAAAACAUUAUGUCUCUAGAUUCAUGAGUUAAUUAGUUCAAUAAGAAAUAAACAACCUAAAACUCAGACAUACACUAUCAAUUAUCUGCUUACAGAAAAGCAUAUAUAUUUUGCCCUUCUUAUUCAUGAGUAAGAUACAAAAUUGUACCUCUGAUAUUAAAAGUGAAUUUAAAGCUUUUUGUAAGAUUAUGUUUUGCUUUAAAUUUCAAAAGUACACAAUGCUGUUGUUCAGAUGACCAAGCCUGGAUCAAAAGGCCUAUGAAUAUAGAAUUGGUUAAAAGAAAUCUUAGCAUAUAAGAAACAUUCAAGAAUUAACCAAGUCAUGAUAAUUCCCACAAAUGUUGGACAUUCUUCUUGGGGAAACAUUUGAAAUUGCAUCAACCCUCACUCUUGUAACAUGAGCAGGUUCUUACUCUCUCAGGGGGUGACAUGAACUUUUCCAGUUACUAAACUUAAAUACAAAUCAGUGAUUAAUGUGAGUGAAGUUUUGCAGAUUUUAGAUUGAUUCCAUUCCCACUUUCCUUGAUUAGACCCAUCAACAAAUUGCUAAGCUAGGAAAGUUCUCAAUCACUAUCACCCUAAACCCACUUAUGCUUUUGCCAAUGGAUCACUAAAAUCACUUAUGCCCACUAACUAUAACAUUCCAAACCUUCCUAUUAUAGAAACAGGAUAAUCUCAUCCACAAUUUGGGGAACACCCAUUUCAUCACAGCCGUCCAUUCUCCACCAAUGCCAUCCCUUGGAUCAAAUCUUGAUGUGGGUCCCACCACCAAAAACCAAACCGCCCACACAAUUAUACCAUUUGUUUUUUUAUUCCCAAUCUAGGGCGGCUGACCUAAUUUCUGUUUUCGACAACCAAUGCCUUCCACUUUCCUUCCUCCAAUUAAAACACGACACGUGGCUUCAACUAUGACCCAAACAUUGACCAGCCCCUCAUAAACCGGCUCGGGUGGGUCCCAUCAGAUUUUAGCCACCACUAAUCCCAAAAGUUAAAAAUCAGAAAAUUCACUUGAAAGAAUAAAAAAUCAUGAGAGGAAAUAAUUGUGUACCAAACCCACUAAAUUAUAUUACUCAUUAUUAGAAUCUUCAGUUUAUAAUGGUGAUCCAAUAAUUCAAGAUUAAAUAUUUUUUUUUACAAUUUUGAUAAAUUUACUAGUAGUGUUGAGUAAUUGAAGUGAAUAUAGACACAAGAUUUAAUAAAAUCUAUUACUAUUAUAUCAGCAUUCCAUAUAUAGACAGUCCACCUAUUUGGGAAGAGUACAAUGUCACUGUCUUCAUCCCCACCCCACAGGUUUACCAAAGCACUAUUUACACCCAACCCCAAAACUUAAGUAUAAUUGCUUUAGAAACCAAACCUAUAAUGUUCCUCACCGUCUUGUACUUUGGGUUGAAAGGAACUUGCUUAUUUUGCUACACAUUUUUUUUUUCUGAAACUAUUUAACAGAUGUUUAUUUUCUACUUUCUCAACAUUUUCCACUUCCUAUUGGAUUUUUCCUAUAUGGACAAACAAUAUUAACAGGUAAGGAACAGAGAAGGGAACACUUCCAGCACCGGCCUUUUUCAGCAAAAAGCACGAGUGUUGGAACGGGUGAAACUGCAUGGAGAAAGUUGCAUUUUGAGGUAAAUAUGAGGGCAUUUCAGCAAUAACCUAGAGUUACUAUCUGUCUAGUAUUCUAUCACUAGUCCUCCCAUUGGGGCACGGUGUGGUAUUCCCUUUCUUCUCUUGGCCGUUCUGUAAUUAACCGAAGUUGGUGGUGGGGUGGACGGUGUGAAACUCUGCACCUUGUUGCUGUUGUUCUUCCCAUGGCUGCUGUUGCUGCUGUAUGAAUCCUCUGAGUCUGAUGCCAUUGUUGUUGACUUUUUCUUCUUCUCGAAGUUCCUUGAAGUCCCCACAAUCUACAAUUCAUUCUUGCAUUCAUUAAUAUUUAAUUCAAAAAAAUACCACACUUCAAAUCAAGAAGACGGAGACCAUUCAAAUUUUUAAAGAUCAACUUGAAAAUCCAAAAUUCAAAUAUUGGGUAGAGCAAUUAAUUGAAAACCCACAGUAACAUUCAUCAGCAUAAAUGAAAAAGUCAAACCCAUUCAAGUGCUGGCUUGAUAACAAAGCAAACUAUGGUAAACAAAAUGGUAGCUUGGUUUAAUAUUAUUAAUAUAUCAAUAUCAAUGCCAUGGUUUUUAAUUCAAAGAAAAAGGGAUUGAAAAAGGAGAUGCUGAAACUGAAAAAGGAAACCCUUUUUUUUUGGAUUUGAAAAGGCUUGGAAUCUCAAGCAAUGGAUGGCAUUGUGUGGAGUGAAUAUUUACCUUGCAACCAAGAGAACAGAAACGGUAUGAAUCAAGAAGGCUACGCUCACAGACUUCACAAGUGUUGGUGACUCCUUUACCAGGCCUUGGCUGAGGCCUCUCAUUCAAGAAAACAACCCUUGCACUGUUGAUAAUGUAGGUUUGGACCCCUGUAAUGUCCAAAACCUUCUGAAUCUCGUUCACCCUAAUCACAUCAUGGUAUGAGGACCUUCUUAUCUGUCACCAAAAGAAAAAACAGAGCACAUUAGAAGGGAAUGGACAUUUGUUGCAUUGAAAAAACAUCUUUUGGUUCCAAGGCUGUGACUUUUACCUAUCCCACCACAGGACUUGUUAAAAGGAGGAGCGUGGAAAUUAAGGGAAAAAAAAGGGAAUUAAUCAACCACCCAAAACAGUUAAUAAUUUGGCACAUAAGAAAAUUGAAAUCGGAACCCAAUUAAUGACAGUUCAAAUGUCUCAGCAGAGAAGGGGGAAAAGAUGGGACUUUUUAACUAAGUUCCAGAAAAAGAAGGAAUCUAACACGCCCACAAAAGGAAAAGUGAUUGUUUUUAACAACAAUGAGUGAGGAUCAGAAGUGUGUCAGAAGCUGAGAAAGAAAGAAAGAGAGAGAGAGUUGAUAAUAGGAACCUGAAUAGCACGGUGAUCUUUGUGGUAACCGAGGCAGAGGGAGCAGAGUGCGCCGUUCAUACAAUCCAAGCAGUACAUGUUGCACUCGCUCUUGUGCGAAUCAGCGUGCAACUUGCAUUGAACAAAGAAGCUCUCUUUGAGCAGAGGCUUCAGCCACGGUGGCCACCGGUUGUCCGCGUCAUCAGGGCCUCCAGAACCCUUCUCAAAAAAUUCAAAAUUUGAAUGAGACCCAGAAAGCAGAAGAAUGAUUAAUUGCACUUUUUUACAGAACAAGAAGAAAACAGUGAGAAAGUGGAGGGAAGAUGCACGAAAGCAUAAGUUGAGUGAAAGUGGGAGAUUGAGUUACCAUGAUUCUGCGGUUCUUGGGCUUGAUUUCUCGGACAGUGAUGGUUUGGUUUUGGAACGCCAGCUUGAAGGAGGUGCUUUUGAAGAAGUGAAGUGUGCUGUGGUGAAUUUGAGGAAGUGGGGGAGAGUGUGUUGCUCUGAAGAAGAAGAAAAAGAAAAGAGAAAGAAGAGAAAGAGUGAGAUUUUGAGGCGGUGUGAGAGGGAAUGGGUUCUUGUAGAAUUUGGAGGCGGUAGAAUAGAAGAUGUUUGAGAGAGAAAGAGAGAGAAAGAGAAAAAAAACAAGACAGAGUGUGUAUGAGAGAGAACAGAGGUUGUUCUUAUCCACACAACAAAG